AGAUUGAACGCUGGCGGAAUGCUUUACACAUGCAAGUCGAACGGCAGCACGGGACUCAGGCAACUGAGCCCUGGUGGCGAGUGGCGAACGGGUGAGUAACAUAUCGGAACGUACCCAGUCGUGGGGGAUAACUCUCCGAAAGGAGAGCUAAUACCGCAUACGUCCUGAGGAGAAAGCGGGGGACCUAAGGGUAACUGAGGGCCUCGCGCGAUUGGAGCGGCCGAUAUCGGAUUAGCUAGUUGGUGAGGUAAAGGCUCACCAAGGCGACGAUCCGUAGCGGUCGUGAGAGGACGACCCGCCACACUGGAACUGAGACACGGUCCAGACUCCUACGGAGGCAGCAGUGGGAAUUUGGACAAGUGGGGCAACCGUGAUCCAGCCAUUCCGCGUGAGUGAAGAGUCCUA
rnacentral:rRNA from 1 species